rnacentral:rRNA from 1 species
AGCGAACGCUGGCGGCAUGCCUAACACAUGCAAGUCGAACGAAGCCUUCGGGCUUAGUGGCGCACGGGUGCGUAACGCGUGGGAAUCUGCCCUUGGGUUCGGAAUAACAGUUAGAAAUGACUGCCAAUACCGGAUGAUGUCUUCGGACCAAAGAUUUAUCGCCCAAGGAUGAGCCCGCGUAGGAUUAGGUAGUUGGGUGGGUAAUGGCCCACCAAGCCGACGAUCCUUAGCUGGUCUGAGAGGAUGAUCAGCCACACUGGGACUGAGACACGGCCAAGACUCCUACGGGAGGAAGCAGUGGGGAAUAUUGGACAAUGGGCGAAAGCCUGAUCCAGCAAUGCCGCGUGAGUGAUGAAGGCCUUAGGGUUGUAAAGCUCUUUUACCAGGGAUGAUAAUGACAGUACCUGGAGAAUAAGCUCCGGCUAACUCCGUGCCAGCCGCCGCGGUAA